rnacentral:rRNA from 1 species
CUGGCGGCAGGCCUAACACAUGCAAGUCGAGCGCGCCUUCGGGUGAGCGGCGGACGGGUUAGUAACGCGUGGGAACGUGCCCUUCUCUACGGAAUAGCCUCUGGAAACGGAGAGUAAUACCGUAUACGCCCUUUGGGGGAAAGAUUUAUCGGAGAAGGAUCGGCCCGCGUUAGAUUAGGUAGUUGGUGGGGUAACGGCCUACCAAGCCUACGAUCUAUAGCUGGUUUUAGAGGAUGAUCAGCAACACUGGGACUGAGACACGGCCCAGACUCCUACGGGAGGCAGCAGUGGGGAAUCUUAGACAAUGGGGGCAACCCUGAUCUAGCCAUGCCGCGUGAGUGAUGAAGGCCUUAGGGUCGUAAAGCUCUUUCGCCUGUGAUGAUAAUGACAGUAGCAGGUAAAGAAACCCCGGCUAACUCCGUGCCAGCAGCCGCGGUAAUACGGAGGGGGUUAGCGUUGUUCGGAAUUACUGGGCGUAAAGCGCGCGUAGGCGGAUUAGAAAGUUGGGGGUGAAAUCCCGGGGCUCAACCUCGGAACUGCCUCCAAAACUGCUAGUCUAGAGUUCGAGAGAGGUGAGUGGAAUUCCGAGUGUAGAGGUGAAAUUCGUAGAUAUUCGGAGGAACGCCAGUGGCGAAGGCGGCUCACUGGCUCGAUACUGACGCUGAGGUGCGAAAGUGUGGGGAGCAAACAGGAUUAGAUACCCUGGUAGUCCACACCGUAAACGAUGAAUGCCAGUCGUCGGGUAGUAUACUAUUCGGUGACACACCUAACGGAUUAAGCAUUCCGCCUGGGGAGUACGGUCGCAAGAUUAAAACUCAAAGGAAUUGACGGGGGCCCGC